GGAGACUUCGGUGAUAUCAGAGAGAGGCGAGAGAGAGGCGAUUAAACGGACAACUGAUCAGCGAUGCUUAUUUGAUCGGUGGAUGGAUCAAAUAAGAUCGGUGGAUGCAGAUGCGAAGAUCGGCGCUGCAGAUGCGAAGAUCGGUGGAUGGAUGGAUGAUGAUCGGCGAUGCUUAUUUGAUCGGUCGAGGUACAGACAACUGAUCGGCGAUGGCUUAUUUGAUGUAAAUCAAAGCACAGUCAAAGCAAAUUCAGAGAUGGGUAUAUUACAAGUAAGAUUUUUACUCAGUUUAUUGAUUUCCCGAAAAUGUAGUGAGUUAAUGAAUUAGGAAGGCUUUGAUGUGGUUGAUGAUUGAUGGUUUGGAUGGAUUGGAUUACUGAUUGAAUCAAUGCUCUGUAGUGGUUAGGUUUGCAUUAGAUAUUGUAGUCAAUGCUUUGUUGAAUUAGGAUGUGAUUUGUAGUUGCUAUAUGUCACGGUUGAUAAAUGUGAGAGUGGAAUCAAUGCAUUUGUGUCACAAUGAAUGCUUCGGUUAAAACUCUAAUAACUAGUUUCUUUUGCUCAUGUCUUCAGAAACUACAAACUCUUAACUACAAACUCUAACUUAACUCUAACUUAACUUGAACUUUAAAUCUAUCUUCAAUGCUAACUCCAUCUUGAAUAAGCUUCUAUAUAUUGAAGCUCACUUUGUUUUUUUUAAAAGACACACACCCAAACUUCUUUCCACACUUUUUAAAAGACACACCGAAAUCACACACCUAAACACAUUCACUAAACCUUCCAAUGGAUUCAACUAAUCCUUUUUCUGACACAUCAGGCUUCAUGGACCUGCUAACUAGCCAACAAAGAACCCAAACCCAUAGCCUUGAACCCAUGGAAACAACCAUAGCACUCGGUGAUUCACAAGUUCCAGUGUUUGGAACACAAUGGAGUGAUGCUCCAAGUCCAACUGAUGCACAAGAGAAGGAGCGUAAGACCAGGAAGCCAUGGACUCCUGCUGAAGAUCUUGCGCUUAUAAGCACCUGGCUUAAUACCAGCAAGGAUCCAAUCAUCAGCAAUGGGCAAAGGGCAGAUGCAUUCUGGAAAAGAAUAGCCAUCUACUAUGCGGCGAGUCCUGACGUGUCUGCUGAAGAUAAGAGAGGGCCAACUAACUGUAAGGUACGAAACACAAAUUCACCAUGGAGCACUGCUGGAGAGAACUGCGUCAUGAUCAGAAGUGGGCAGGAAAUGGAAGCUCAAAAAAAAAGAAGAACCGAUGGUGCUAGAGUUGAAGGAACCGAUGCUCUUUUGAGGCAUGGAGAUGAUGAAGGAAUUCCUCGGCCUGCUGGUGUAAAAGCUUCCAAGGGCAAAAAAAAAACAACAAAGACCAAUGGUGGUCGUUUGGAAGAAGAUGGUAAGGAUUUAGUGGACUUUAGAAGCAUCUUUGAGCUAAGGGAAAGAGAGUUAGCAUUGAAAGAUAAGACUAACAAGCAAAAGAUACUCGAAAAUCUGCUUGCAAAAACCGAACCUCUUACUGAGGUAGAAUUCGAGCUUAAGAACAAGCUCAUUAAGGAAAUGUUGUCAAAUAUGUGAGAGUUUGUAUGAGUGAGUUAAGGGUGAGGUCUGUUUUUCUUUGGUAUGAGUUAGUUUUUGGGUAUGUCAUAUUGUUAAGUCUUUUGGGUAUGUCAUAUUGUUAAGUCUUUUUGGGUAUGUCAUAUUGUUAAGUCUCGGGUAUAACUUCUAUGUCUUGUAAUGUUUGUUCUAUGUAUUUUUAUAAAGCCUUUCAGUUGUUUGUCUUUUGGUUUAGGUUCUAUGUAUUGUAUUCAAGACUCCAUAUAUAUAUAUGAUUCUGUUUCCUUUAUCAUUUGUAUGACUUAUAUUCACUUGUUCAUGAUCUCUUUUUUCUUAUUGCAGGUAACAAAGUCAUGGACAAACGACUACAAAGGAGGCUUUGAAGAAAUGGCUACAAUUUGUAUAUUCAUAUAGGUUUGGGCCACCAUUAUUAUUUUGGCCGAUGUUUUGUGCAAUAUAAGGUUUGGAACUGGUACUUAGCUAUAUUUUGGGCCUGCUAUUUUGUAUUGGCCGUUAAAAACUUUUAGCCGAUGUUUUUAAGUCCCACUUCUUUUUCUGUCCCAAUUUGUUAUGUCCCACUUCUUUUUAUCCGAUGUUUU
rnacentral:lncRNA from 1 species